UUCUGCCCUCAGAGUCACCUUGGUCAUUUUCUUCUGAAUCUCCUAGAGAAGUUCUAGGAAGUUCAUUUCCUUCAUCUGCCUGGAAUUAUCUAACUGUUCAGCGUGCUCAGACUUCAGUCUGAAUUUCACCAUGUGGUCCAUCAUCUUCUUUCUCCUGUUGGGGUUCCUCUGCCCUGGACACAAUGCCCCUCUGAGCCCUCAAAACCCUGACGCAGAUGGAAUGCCUCUAGCAGAACAACUGAAUUGGCCAAAAGAAAUCACUAUCACAUGUGUCGUUCAAGAUUUUUAUCCCAGCGAACUCUUUCUGAAAUCGCUCCAGAAUGGGGAGCCGGUGAGUGAAUCAGCGUACCACACUGGCCAACCCAAUUUACAGUCCAACACACCCAAACGGUAUUUGAGGUUGAGCAUCAGCAAGCAGGAAUGGAAUUCUGAAGACGGAUACUUUUGCCAAGUGGUCCACAAAGCCUUGCCAUCCGACGUCAUCCAGAAGACCAUAAAGAAGAACACGGGGAAAUGAUCUGUAGUUGACGUCUCCGUAAUCCUCUCUGACGCCAGCAGCCCUUGCUUCCCAUUUCUUUUGAGAAACCUUCGUGUGUUCGGUUCCCACCAGCCUCUCUUUUCUCCUACUUCGUGAUGGAUAAUUCAUGAAAGCAUUCGUUGGCCGCAUCCUUCUGAAGACAAGAAAUAUUGUGUCAUCAAGUAUUUUUCUCAAAACAAGUAAAAAAAUAAUAAUAAUCUGGGGGUAAGGCAGUGGUGAAAUGUAAAAUUUGUUACUACCGGUUCUGUGGACGUGGCUUGCUGUGUGUGUGUGUGUGUGUGUGUGUGUAUGUGUGUGUGUAAGUGAGUGUGUAAUGUGACUUGUGGGCAUGGCCAACUUUUUUUUUUUACCUUUAAAAACAUUUUUUCUUCAACCUUUAAAAGAAAAAAAAAGCCUCUGAUGAUUAGGCAACUCAGCUGGGAUCAUCAAAGGAGCCUUUUAAAAAAGCAUUUUUUCUACAACCUCUUUGGCUGAACUGGUAGCAUUUCACCCCUGGUGUAAAGUUUCCAGAAGUUUCCCCGAGCCACUUUGAUGCCAAAGAGAGUGAGACUCCAGACGAGGCUUACAAAACUACUGUUUUUUAUUCUUUGGCCAAAGUAAAAAGGCUGGGUGACAAAACUGUAUCCAAAACAUACAGGCAAAAUGCAUGUAAGGAAUAGCCACACCCCGCGUGAAAUGCUACUGGCUUGCACCGGUUCGGUGAACCGGUAAUGAUAAAAGCUACACAUGCGGGCGAACCGGUAGUAAAAAAGAGAUCCUAGUUCAUCCAAAAUGGUAUUUCUGAUGAUCAGCUUUACCACGUGAUUUAAAUUCGGUAGAAAUCCUGCUUUCUAGAGAAUCAAAAUUGUGUGGCACAGCUGUUCUGCCUCCUUCGCUGUUGUACUUACCUUGUUAAGCCUCCUUUUUCUGCAUGAAGCAAGUGUUUGGUGCGCAAUCUGCAUGCAUGUGCAUGCAGCGUGUGUUUGGCAUGUACUGCGCAUGUACACAUGUGCAGCGUGUGUUUUGCACACACUAUUCAUGCCUAGCUUUGAAACCAAGAAUAGAAGUGAGACACAGAAGCAAGAUAACAAAAUGUUACUAAUGCCAACCAGCAUUAAGGUUACAUUUUACUAAGCUAGAUUUAGUUCCUAACUCAUCUACACCUCAUUAACUGUCUGGUUUGGUUCUGCAACCCAACAAGACAGACACAGACUUCAGAGGAUCAUUAGAACUGCAGAAAAAACAACGGCUACCCAUCUGCCUUCCAUUGAGGACUUUUAUACUGCACGAGUCAAAAAGAGGGCUGUGAAAAUAUUUACAGAUCCCUUAUAUCCUGGACAUAAACUGUUUCAACUCCUACCCUCAAAACGACGCUAUAGAGCACUCCAUGCCAGAACAACUAAACACAAGAACAGGUUUUUCCUGACCGCCAUCACUCUGCUAAACAAAUAAUUCCCUCAACACUGUCAAACUAAAUCUGCACUACUAUUAAUCUUCUCAUCGUUGCUAUCACCCACCUCCUCCCACUUAUGACUGUAUGACUGUAACUUUGUUGCUUGUAUCCUUAUGAUUUAUAUUGAUUAUUUCCUAAUAUGAUUUGAUUGCUUAUUUGUACCCUACAACUAUCAUUAAGUGUUGUACCUUAUAAUUCUUGACGAACGCAUUUUUUCUUUUAUUUACACCAAGAGCAUAUGCACCAAGACAAAUUCCUUGAGUGUCCA